rnacentral:rRNA from 1 species
UACGUAGGGGGCAAGCGUUGUCCGGAUUUAUUGGGCGUAAAGAGCGUGUAGGCGGCCAUGCAGGUCCGUUGUGAAAACUCGAGGCUCAACCUCGAGACGUCGAUGGAAACCGCAUGGCUAGAGUCCGGAAGAGGCAAGUGGAAUUCCCGGUGUAGCGGUGGAAUGCGUAGAGAUCGGGAGGAACCUCGAAAGCGAAGGCAGCCGGCUAGGCCCUGAUUGACGCUGAGGGACGAGAGCGUGGGGAGCGAACAGG